UACGGAGGGUGCAAGCGUUAAUCGGAAUUACUGGGCGUAAAGCGCACGCAGGCGGUCUGUUAAGUCAGAUGUGAAAUCCCCGGGCUUAACCUGGGAACUGCAUUUGAAACUGGCAGGCUUGAGUCUUGUAGAGGGGGGUAGAAUUCCAGGUGUAGCGGUGAAAUGCGUAGAGAUCUGGAGGAAUACCGGUGGCGAAGGCGGCCCCCUGGACAAAGACUGACGCUCAGGUGCGAAAGCGUGGGGAGCAAACAGGAUUAGAUACCCUGGUAGUCCACGCCGUAAACGAUGUCGACUUGGAGGUUGUUCCCUUGAGGAGUGGCUUCCGGAGCUAACGCGUUAAGUCGACCGCCUGGGGAGUACGGCCGCAAGGUUAAA
rnacentral:rRNA from 1 species